CGGACGGGUGAGUAACGCGUGAGAAUCUGCCUUUUGGUCGGGGACAACCACUGGAAACGGUGGCUAAUACCGGAUGUGCCUUUAGGGGUGAAAGAUUAAUUGCCAGAAGAAGAGCUCGCGUCUGAUUAGCUAGUUGGUGAGGUAAAGGCUCACCAAGGCAGCGAUCAGUAGCUGGUCUGAGAGGAUGACCAGCCACACUGGGACUGAGACACGGCCCAGACUCCUACGGGAGGCAGCAGUGGGGAAUUUUCCGCAAUGGGCGAAAGCCUGACGGAGCAAUACCGCGUGAGGGAGGAAGGCUCUUGGGUUGUAAACCUCUUUUAUCAGGGAAGAACCAAAUGACGGUACCUGAAGAAUCAGCAUCGGCUAACUCCGUGCCAGCAGCCGCGGUAAUACGGAGGAUGCAAGCGUUAUCCGGGAUUAUUGGGCGUAAAGCGUCCGCAGGUGGCUCAUCAAGUCUGCUGUCAAAGGCAGGGGCUUAACCCCUGAAAGGCAGUGGAAACUGGGGAGCUAGAGUGCAGUAGGGGUAGAGGGAAUUCCCGGUGUAGCGGUGAAAUGCGUAGAGAUCGGGAAGAACAUCGGUGGCGAAAGCGCUCUGCUGGACUGCAACUGACACUAAAGGACGAAAGCUAGGGGAGCGAAUGGGAUUAGAUACCCCAGUAGUC
rnacentral:rRNA from 1 species